GGAUGUGAGGGCAAUCUGGCUGUAACAUGUGUCACCCCAUUGUUCGCCAGGGUUGAUUCGGCUGAUCUGCCUGGCGAGGCGGGUGUUGCCUUCCUCCCUCAACGCUCCAUGUGCGUCCCUCCCGAAGCUGCACGCUCAGCCGAAGAGGACGACCACCCCUGAUAAAGAGGACAGUUCCUCUGUCAAAGGUAUACGAGGAGCUGCACUCCCCUACUAGAACCUCCAACCAACUCUCAAAAAAAGGAACAAGUUGUUUCUUUGCUAGUCACAAUGUAGAAAAUUCUAUCUAAAUACAUAACAGUAUCAACAUAGUUGAAAAAAAUGAUUUCUUUUUUAUUUUA
rnacentral:snRNA from 1 species